GAGGAUCCGCAUUGCUCAUUUUCUAUCCAAUUGAUUUCUCAGUAUCCAUUCCAAUACUCCCUCUUCUCUCUCACGCCUACUCCCUCACACUCUAACCAUUCUCUUCAAUUCAAGCUUUGAACUAAGGAAAGGAAGCAUGGAUUCUUACAUGCAAUCAUGGUAGCAACUUCUCUAGCCAUAAGUAAACAAGGUAACAGACUUACCUUUUCCUUUUCUUUAACAUAAUCCUUGUAAUUUCCCAUUUUAAUUAUUCAACCAAAAUCUGAUGAGUACUCCCUUCCUUUUGAAUUGAGAGCUUGUAUGUGAGUUAUAGUAGCCAAGGAGUCAUGGGUUCAUGUUUGAAGCUUGAAGUUUUGAGUGGUGACUUUUGAAAGAGAUUGUGUUGAAUUUCGUUUUUGGAUAUACUUUCAGAAAAACAGUAAGUACUCCUUCCCUGUAACUCCAAUCGAGUUAAUUCUUUAAGUUCUGUAAAGCUAACGAAUUUACCCUCGUUGGCAUAUCAAAUUUUAUCGGAUUCGGAGUUACAAUGCAUUAUGUAGGUGAUGCUAAAGUUGAAGAUACGAAACAGGAUUUCUGCAGAAAAUGUGUUUGGACAGUGCUGCACUUAAAGGUUAACUGCGCCCUCUCUAUAACUCGGUUUGACAUUCCAUUUGCUUCUAUGGAUAGCUAACUCGAUUACGGUUGGUAUGGUUCCGGUUUUGUGAAUUUUCAAUAAGGGAUGAGGUCUGUAUGAAUUUUUGAAGUUGAUACUCCGAUGCAGAAUUCUGCAGAAAGGUAUGGGUACGGGUUUGAAGCAUUUCGAUUGAAAUUAUGCAUAUCGGCGAGCUCUGGAAAUGACAAUGGUAUUGUUCAAGCGUAUUUGCAGGUGGGUUCCCUUAGAGCCUUAAACUCUAGUUAGUUUUAACUCUAUUAGUUUCCCCAAAUUAUGAAUCUUGCAUGAUAACAUAAGCAUUAGGGUGAAUUGUGUAUGAGAGGAGCUUAAUCCCAAAGCUUCUCUUCGUUUUAAUUAUGUGAAAUAUGUUGUAAUGUUCAUGGCUAAUAAGUAAAGGGAUUGUGAUAAUGAUUUUCUGCAAAACGGAUGGAAAUUGUAAAAACAGAGUAAUGAACUGAUAGCCUCGCUAAGCGAAAUGGUACUUGCUAGGCGAGAAUAUCAGCUCAGUACUAUGUAGAAUUUAAAAUUAUGAACAAACUCACGUUUUUGAAUCCCCUACCUUUUUAGUACAUUUUCUGUGAAUAAUACAAGUAUAAUAAUUAAUUAAAAUGUUAAGUACACGUUAAGUUAAGAUAAUCAGGAUAUCAGGACAAGUUAGCUACUCCAGGGAGGGAAAUUCAUGGGUAGGAUANNN
rnacentral:lncRNA from 1 species